CCAUUUCCAAAACCUCACCAUAUAAACCACGUUGAGAGCGCACAGCGCAUUCUUGGAACAGGCAAAUCCGCCGCAAGCCAUCUCCCCAGAUCUGGGGACCCGAAUGGUCCCAAGACUUGUGGGGAGGGUACUGAGGACCGUCUUGUAGGAAUCCAACAGCGUCUAUCGCUUUAAAUCCAAGCCAGCCAAACCAAUUCUCUGCGCCUGCACCGUCCCACCCCUGCCUCUGGAUUGGCGAAACUCGUGGCUAAUCCAGGACAUCCAGGACUUCAAUGCCAAUCAUUCUGCAUUACGUCACCAGCCCGCCUCUCAGUCUUUCCCUUAGUUUCUUCAUUGGACGAAACUUAAAAAGAAAAGAAAAGAAACUGAGGCCAGGGUUUCUAGACAGUGUUUUAGGGACCAGAGAUUGGAUUCCCGAGCACGGAGUUUCGAGACUAGGAACCCAGGAAGAUACUCAGUGUGAACACGCCAGAAAUUCAGGUGGAGACAGUGACUUGAGGCUGGUGCAUUCCUGUUCGUGACAAAACCACAGGCACAGACGCUGGUGUUCUCUAUACCUUUAGAACACAAAUGUGCCUGAUCAGGGCUGGCACAUGGCACAGUGGGGGCGAGUCUGGAAUAUGAAUAAAUAGAGUCUCCAUACUCUAAAAUGUA
rnacentral:sRNA from 1 species